AUGUUGUAUGAAAGGAGAAAAGGUGAGAACUUCCUUUGACAAAGUUGGAAGAGGCUCUCGGGCUUGACAACACGCAUGUGGUUAAGGCAUUGCCACCUACUUUGUGGUAGCUAACCACUGUUUUUU
ensembl:snRNA